AUUGAACGCUGGCGGAAUGCUUUACACAUGCAAGUCGAACGGCAGCACGGGGGCAACCCUGGUGGCGAGUGGCGAACGGGUGGGUAAUACAUCGGAACGUGCCCAGUCGUGGGGGAUAACGUAGCGAAAGCUACGCUAAUACCGCAUACGAUCUACGGAUGAAAGCGGGGGAUCGCAAGACCUCGCGCGAUUGGAGCGGCCGAUGGCAGAUUAGGUAGUUGGUGGGGUAAAGGCUCACCAAGCCGACGAUCUGUAGCUGGUCUGAGAGGACGACCAGCCACACUGGGACUGAGACACGGCCCAGACUCCUACGGGAGGCAGCAGUGGGGAAUUUUGGACAAUGGGGGGCAACCCUGAUCCAGCCAUGCCGCGUGAGUGAAGAAGGCCUCGGUUGUAAG
rnacentral:rRNA from 1 species